UGCCAUCGAGAUGGGUUGCUCCAGCGCCAAGCCUGCUUCCAAGAGCAGUGACCCGUCGUCCUUCGGUAGCCAGAAGAAGGAUAACGAGCGUCUCCUCGACAAGUACACCUUGGGCGAAGU
rnacentral:SRP_RNA from 1 species